GACGAACGCUGGCGGCGUGCUUAACACAUGCAAGUCGAACGGAAAGGCCCCCUUGUGGGGUACUCGAGUGGCGAACGGGUGAGUAACACGUGAGUAACCUACCCUUGACUUUGGGAUAACUUCAGGAAACUGGGGCUAAUACCGGAUAGGAGCUCCUGCUGCAUGGUGGGGGUUGGAAAGUUUCGGCGGUUGGGGAUGGACUCGCGGCUUAUCAGCUUGUGGGUGGGGUAGUGGCUCACCAAGGCUUUGACGGGUAGCCGGCCUGUGAGGGUGACCGGCCACAUUGGGACUGAGAUACGGCCCAGACUGCAACGGGAGGCAGCAGUGGGGAAUAUUGCACAAUGGGCGGAAGCCUGAUGCAGAAGCGCCGCGUGCGGGAUGACGGCCUUCGGGUUGUAAACCGCUUUCGCCUGUGACGAAGCGUGAGUGACGGUAAUGGGUAAAGAAGCACCGGCUAACUACGUG
rnacentral:rRNA from 1 species